UCAAACACAAAAGAAACCUGCUUCAUAAUACGAAUUAUAUAAAACAUGCAUUAAUUUAAAUACUUGUCAUCACAUGCUCUCCUAUAUAUAGGCUAAUCGCAUCAAAAUAAUCAUUUAAAAUAAUUCAACAUCCAAAUAUGUUGCAUAACAUCAACAUGGUUAUGGAAAAUUCCUUUAACAUAAACAACAUCAAAACCAAUAGAAAAUAGAAAAACAAAG
rnacentral:lncRNA from 1 species